rnacentral:lncRNA from 1 species
UGGGAAAAAUUUGCGGUGGUGGCUAGAAAUUGAUGGAAACGGUGGGGAAAACACAUGAACUGGACUCUAACUAGACCUAACUAGCAACAAGACCUCGACCAGGACACAAACUCAACACUGCUGACUCUGAAACUGAAAUAUGCAGAGGCUAUGGCGCGGAAGGGUUGUAGGACACGAAAACGAUAUGGCACUGGACUUAUGGGACGAAGACAAGAACACCCGAAACUAAGGGUAGAUGUGAACCUAACGGUAUACCUCAAGCUCUGAUUACCACUUGAUGAGAACAAGGGUGGCCCGAUCUUCCGAAAGGUUCUGGUAACUCUCGAUUUGGUGGAGACGAGACACAAAUCGAUCCGGCUUCUGAACAACACGAUCUGAAACCAUGCAAGUUUUUUUUUAUUUUUUUGAUAUUUUUCUUUUACUUAGGAGCACUAAAAAAGUAACCACAAAAAAUUUGAUCUUAAACAAGUGAAAGACGUGGCCUGCGGAAUUCUCUGAAGAUUGCGAAAAAUGUGA